AGUGAACGCUGGCGGUAGGCCUAACACAUGCAAGUCGAACGGCAGCACAGGAGAGCUUGCUCUCUGGGUGGCGAGUGGCGGACGGGUGAGGAAUACAUCGGAAUCUACUUUUUCGUGGGGGAUAACGUAGGGAAACUUACGCUAAUACCGCAUACGACCUCCGGGUGAAAGCAGGGGAUCUUCGGAACUUGCGCGAUUCAAUGAGCCGAUGUCGGAUUAGCUAGUUGGCGGGGUAAAGGCCCACCAAGGUGACGAUCCGUAGCUGGUCUGAGAGGAUGAUCAGCCACACUGGAACUGAGACACGGUCCAGACUCCUACGGGAGGCAGCAGUGGGGAAUAUUGGACAAUGGGCGCAAGCCUGAUCCAGCCAUACCGCGUGGGUGAAGAAGGCCUUCGGGUUGUAAAGCCCUUUUGUUGGGAAAGAAAUCCAGCUGGUUAAUACCCGGUUGGGAUGACGGUACCCAAAGAAUAAGCACCGGCUAACUACGUGCCAGCCGCCGCAGUAA
rnacentral:rRNA from 1 species